rnacentral:rRNA from 1 species
UACGGGGGGGGCAAGCGUUGUUCGGAAUUACUGGGCGUAAAGGGCUCGUAGGUUGCCAACUAAGUCAGGCGUGAAAUCCCUCGGCUUAACCGGGGAACUGCGUCUGAUACUGGAUGGCUUGAGUUUGGGAGAGGGACGCGGAAUUCCAGGUGUAGCGGUGAAAUGCGUAGAUAUCUGGAGGAACACCGGUGGCGAAGGCGGCGUCCUGGACCAAUACUGACACUGAAACGCGAAAGCCAGGGGAGCAAACGGG